rnacentral:lncRNA from 1 species
CUUCCCUUUAUCAAUCUAGUCAUGCCUAGAAUGGGGUACAGCCGCCUAAGGAAUAGAGGCUAUAGUUACAAGCUAUUUUGGAGCACGUCUAAGACCUUCUACACUAUUUUGAGGAGAUAGUUGCUCUCCCAAAAUCCUAACUAAUGGUAUGGAUAUUGAGGGCCCUCGAGGGACCUCUCUGGAUGAGCCAAAUACUUACUGAAACAA